GGUUUCCGUAGGUGAACCUGCGGAAGGAUCAUUACA
rnacentral:rRNA from 1 species